CAAGCGAUUCUCAUGCCUCAGUCUCCCCAGUAGCUGGGAUUACAAGUGCGUGCUGCUACGCUUGGCUAAUUAUUAUAUUUUCAGUAGAGAUGGCGUUUCACCAUGUUGGCCAGGCUGGUCUCGAACUCCUGGACUCAAGCAAUCCACCCACCUCGGUGUCCCAGAGUGCUGGGAUUAUAGGCGUGAACCACUGCGCCUGGCCUGGAUCAGUGCUUUUAACUUCAUUUUACAUGACACAGAUUUCUUUAUAGUGCAUUUUAUAUUACAUAUAUUACCCUGUUUCUAUGUUAUGUUGAUUCCUGGCUGACUCACGGGAAGCAGAGAUUGUAGCUGGGUAGAGGAGUUUGCAUUUGGAUUGGUGGCUUGCUUUGUUAAAUGAAAAUUACUGCCUUCACUAGGGUCCAUUAGCACAUCAAAAUGGUGCUUGUUGAGUCAGGAAAAGUGAUACAUUAUGCUUGCAUUUAUUCUUUGGUCCCCAAAGACUAAUUGUUGGUUUGUGUUUUUAAACACCCUUUCAAGUGCUUAAAGCCCCUAAUGAGUUAAAUUAGCAAACCAUUAGGCUUAAGAAUAGUGGUGUCACUGUGGACACAGUGUUCCAAUUAUUGAUGCCUGACACCAGGAUGCCAUGGUGAAUGCAACACUACAAAUCCCUCUAUUUCUAAUGCUACUGGACACUUGGCAAAGUGUUUACCCUGCAUUGCUGUGUGGUCCAUAUGUCAAUCCUUUGCCAUUUUACAGAUGAGGACACUUAGAAGCUUAGAGAUGUGAAGUGGUGUGCCAACUCAGAGCUAGUAAGGGACAUUUGCACGUAAGCUUUGAAACACCAGAGUCCCCACAUUACCCUAGAGAACACCAGUUUUGCAGAUGGCACUUGGUUUGGUUGUGGGCAUACGCACACUUUUUGAAUUUCUAAUAUAAACUGCCUGGGGCCCACCUCAAUACUGGCUUGAAAGUGAGCUAUCAUGUUGCCUCUUAGAGAUCGAACUUAGCUGCUAAGGACAAUCUCUUCAUGCAACUCAGGGACUCCAAGGAGACCAUUAUAAGGACCAUAGGAUGUUGUUAAAAGAGAUGCCCCUAAAAUCUGAUGAGGUGCCCAGCUGCUGUCUUUGAAUGGAUGGAAACCCAACCCCAUUGUGCAGGGAUAAUGCAGCUGCGACACUGGGAACAUCCAGAGACACUCUCUAAGUGAAACUCUUCACAGGGCCCUAGCAUACCUGUUUCAAGCUGAUGUUACUAAUCUUAAUUAUCACUAUCAUUUUAGCUUCCUUAAUAUUGGAUGCUUAGCAGUUCAAUUAAAACAUUUUCUUAAAAUACUUUAAAUAUGUAUUUAAAACAUCGAAUCAUCUCAACUGUCAUAUGAGGACAGUACUAUUAUUUUCCUGCCUUGCAGCUGAAGAUGUUGAAGCUCAGUGCAGUCGAGUGGUUUUCCUGAAGUCAGAGUGGCCACUCCUCACACGGUCUCCCGGGGCACUUUGCCUGAGAUGUCUCGGCUGGACCUCUCCUUUGGGUCGUUCGAGCUUUAUUGCUUAUCUUCAUGAUCUUGUGCAGUCAGGUGAGCCCCAGAUGUAUCAGAUUCAUCAGACCUUAGCAAGCCAGGACCAAAGCUUACCCGAGAUGGCCAGCAAGAAUGAGUCAUAAGGAGGUUCAGGUCACUGACAUGGCCUAAAUCAACCACAAACAGCCCUUGUAUUUUAGGACAGUGGGGAAAGGAGCCAGGAAUCACUCAAAAUCAAGGGCUUCUACUCUGUGGGACGUGUGUUUCUGUUGCCUUUCGUAAAAUGAGUGGAUCCUGUCUGAAGUUUUCUAACUAAAGUCUAGCUCCCCAAAUUCAGCCUCAACACCACCUAUCUGCUAGUGUAAGCAGCACACCGCUAAUGGGAGCUGCUUGCUGCUAGGGGAAUUUGACUUCUUCUUAAUGUGGAAUAAUCACUAUUACCUCUCAAUUACUUAACAAAUAGAGAAGCACAGGGCCACGUUAUUUCAAAAGAGCCUCCUGAGAGUAGGGCUGGAGAUCUCCAAAUGUUACCCGGAAUUAGCUAGGAGAGGGCAGGUGAUCAGAUCUUUUAAUAUCUACCCAGGGGAAAAUGCACAUAUUAUGUACUAAUAACUCAGGCAGCGCCUUAACUAUUCCUCACCCUCUCACUUUAAGCGUAGACCUGGGAAACACCCUGCUCCUUCUCUUCCUGCUAAGAAAUAGUCAAAUAGUAAGUAAGAGGAUUCAUCAGGUCCCUUCGGUUACUAGCAGUGGGGGUGGAUGGGCUGUCUUCCUCUCAAACUUGGUAGACCCACUUCCUGGCUGGAAAUCAAAUAGCAGUUUGGUAGAGAUGUAAAAAAAUGAGAAGAUGCUGACCUUCCCUCCACUAUUGUCCUAUGACCCUGCCAAAUCCCCCUCUGUGAGAAACACCCAAAAAUGAUCAAUAAAAAAUAAAUAAAUAAAUAAAUAAAUAAAUAAAAUGAGAAGAAAAAAAAUCAGUAAAUUAAGUAGUGGGGGUAAAAAAAAAAAAAAACCAAGUUAAAUGGGUUGGUAUUGUGCAGACAAAACCCACCACCCUGGGUUGUAAGCCAUCUCCCUAUUCCCUUUGGAACUAUAGUGACUAUCUUCUAUUUGGGGGUUUCUCAUAAGUCAAUAUUGUAAAAAUUCUAUGAAAAGCUGUUUUGGGUGAGUUAAACAUAGUCCAUUUUCUUGAAAAAUACAUUCUUUCCCAAGGCAAUUUUUUUUAGCAUCUUAAACCAGCAUUGUUUCCUAUGAGACAGUAGGAGCGAAAAUAGAGCUUUAGGUUUAUUUCCAAGAUUUGAUUAAAUGUAAUGUAGAAUUGCAACUUUGAAAGGAGCUUCGGUUUUUCUGGUGGCAUGAGAACUAAAAUUAAAUUUGAGUUUAGCUAAAAGUAAAAAAAAAAAUAACUCAAUGUGUAAUGAGGAUUAAAUGUUAGGGACCAGUUUGCCCAUGAGACUUUCGAUUUCACUCUGUUCAGCAUCUCUGAAUGGUCGGAGCAGAAGGCAUGCUUUACAUUUACAGGAGCAUGGAGACUUCAGGUAUUCUGCUCACUAGCUUUGCGUGGGUCUUUAUGCUGAGUGAAUAACUGUGCAUUUGUUGUAGAAUCAAGGACUAAAGAAGUAAAGGGGAGAGGAGAUUACCCUUUCAGAACCCCAAUUCCCACUAAACCAAAGACCUGCUAAUUCUGAACAUUUAUGACCUCAACUGCUUAGUUCCACUCCCCGCCCCACCCCAGGAAAAUGGCAAGUGGAAAUACCCCAGCUGGCUCUAGAAGCUAUUGUAUGUACUCUCAGGGGUGUUGACUUUCGGGUCAUGAAUGCAUUCACUUCAAGAGAGGAGGGAGAAGAUGUUAGAAGAUGCAGGACCAGUUUCCCCUGUGGACAGAGGCCGUGGACGGCAUGUCUGCUGACCCACUAGUUGGGACUGCUUUGGCUCUUGCUGAAAUUGCAUUUCACUUGUUUCUGACCUAAUUAGGUCUGAACUCUUGGAACGUGGUCAAGCUUUUGCUUGCAUGCGGGAGUGCAAACACAGAUAGAUGCCUUACUGAGAUGGACAGGAAGAAUCUCUGGGGCAGAACUUGGGCUUCCAUGGGCCCAUCAACUUUGGGGUGUUUGCACUGUCAACAAUCCACUGGGAUGAGAAGAAGAUACUAGAACUUUUCUGAAUAUAUUUUGGUCAAAACGGUCAGAAAAGGUACGAAAUUAAAAGAAGCAUGACUAGUACUUAAUAUAUAUAGCUUGAAAUCAAUACAUGUAUACAAUUUAAUCAUGACUAUUCAUAUACCAGGGAUGAUCAAAUCAUUUAGGGAUGGGGAUACAUGAUCAAAACAGUUUGACAACCUCUAGUCUAUGGGAAGACGCACAGUGUUUUCCAGGGCAGCUGAGUAGAGCCCUUGCUCACCCUCCCAGAGCUGCUCCAGCUCCUUCCCACUCAUUUUCCUGUAUUCCUGGACAGUCUGGAUAUUCCAAACAGCUGCCAGCUCUCUGAAUGUGCUCUGCUGUUGUGUGCCCUGGGGUCUUUUCACCUGCCAUUUUCAACUUUGGAUCUCUUUCCCUCUGCUUAGUAAACCUUUUUUUACUUUUGUAAACAGUUUACUGUACUUGCUGGACAACAUGGAUCUGUCAGCCCUAUUACUCUCUCCUCAUAACUCUGUUAUUGCUUUACAAGUUUGUCACCCUUUUAUUUUUGGAGCAGCUGAAGGAUAAAGCUUGUUCUUUUACAUUUGUGUAUAAACGUCUGUAGAAUGAACAAAAGAAUGAAGUUAACAAACCUAGCCUUCAUUGAUGACUAGCUGUAGGGUUUACACCCUGAGAUUUGUUUGGGUCACCAGGAGGGGUCGCUGUUGGCACUUCCUGUAAUGGCCAGCGCCUGGCUGGUGGCUCUUUUCUGAGCAGUAGGUUCUCUCCCAAUAUAGCAGAGUCUAACUUAUUACCUCCUUCCCUCACCCUUCCUCCACUCACUUUCUUGAAAAGGGGACAGAGGCUGAGCCUAGAAGACAGGACACAGCCUCUGACUUCAUAAUAAAACUUUGUGUGCGAGGGGUUCCCCAAGAGCCCCCAGGAUGAACAUGUUGCUGGAUGGACUCACAAAUGCUGCUGGGGAAAUUGUUGAUGCUACCUUGCUUCUUCUAGACCAGAGAGCUAUUCUGGAACAAGCAACAGUACAUAAAGAGGCUUUUGAAAAUGUCAGUGGCUGAGAAACUGCAACCAGCAGCUAUGAGCGGAUUUUGAGGGGCAUAAAACCACACAGCUCCUGAAAGCAGCUGGACGUUCCACUGGCAAGCUGGACAGAAAAGUGCACCAAACUAGGCGAGAUCUUUUUAUUAACCACAGUGUCAGAGAAUGGCGAAUACAUGGCUAUUUGACUGUAAUUAUGAAAGCACUGGUACAAAUAAAAAAGGAGUACAGAAUGUCUUAGUCCCAUUCUUUAAGAUUUCUGUUAAUUUUUAAACUGUAUUUUAAUUUAAGGACAU
rnacentral:lncRNA from 10 species